rnacentral:misc_RNA from 1 species
AAUUUGAUAAAAAUGAUAUGCAUAUCUCACGUGUAGAAAUCCCUUUAGCACAACUCACCAUUUUUUAAAAUGCAAGCAAAAUUAAAAAGGGAAAUUCAGCACACUCAACUACCAAAAUUCUAAGCAAUUAAAAAACUGUUUUUUGGGUUAAAAAAAGGUCUCAAAAAAGAAAUAUGAAAACUCACUUGUGUAACAAACUUUUGAUCACAUUUUACAACAAUAACAAGAACAAGCAGGCUAAACAUCCUCAUAUUUAAGUUGUAGCUAGUGAUGAAAGCAUCACAGGA